UGACCCUUUUUAAAGCCGAGGGUCACCUAGCCAACUGACGUUGUUAGUGAACCUAUUGUUCACACUAUAUAUCAGCCAAUUGCUUCAUGCGAUUGGCUAUUUUUUU
rnacentral:sRNA from 1 species